AUGGCUCGUAGCACAUCUGGGAAUUACUACUCACCUGCCGCAGGAACACUUUACUUUGAUAAACGCCCACUAGGUGUGAAGCCAACGGAGGUGGUAUUUGAUAGCGGUAGCACCUAUACGUACUUUGCUGCCCAGCCAUACCAAGCGACUGUUUCUGCGAUCCAAGCUGGUCUCAGCAAGUCACUUACCAAGGUGUGUGACCCCAGUCUACCUCUUUGCUGGAAAGGGCAGAAAGUAUUUAAAUCUGUGUCUGACAUCAAGAAGGAGUUCAAAUCACUCUUCAUGAGGUUUUCGAAGAAUACAGCCAUGGAGAUCGCUCCUGAAAACUACCUCAUUGUUACCAAAAAUGGAAAUGUGUGCUUGGGCAUUCUUGACGGGUCGGUGGCUAAACUUAAUUUCAACAUGAUUGGAGAUAUCACAAUGCAGGAUCAGUUGGUAAUUUAUGACAAUGAGAAAGGGCAACUUGGAUGGGCCCGUGGAUCAUUCAGUAGGGGCACUAAGUAUAUUAUAUCUUCAUUUACAUGGUAUUUUCUUAUAAUCCAAGUUUUAGCCCAUCCGUUAAAAAGCUGGAUAUAUCAUUAUUGA
rnacentral:rRNA from 1 species